UAAAGAAAAAAUUCAACAACUAUAGAAUGUACCAAAUUUGGUGUACAAAAUUUAAAGUGCAGGGGUACAAUUUAAUUAAAGGUUCCAAUCUUCGAUGCCGUCGAGCCAACUACCGCCAACCCUUCCAUCUCCAUCCCUAAUUAAAAAAAGUCGAGAUACAUGUAUUCAGGAUCGACAGUAGACGCUUCAUUGAGAUCCUCUCCAUCAGCUUUUGAUACAUGUAUUCAGGAUCGCCAGUAGACGCUUCAUUGAGAUCCUCUCCAUCAGCUUUUGAAUCGUGUUGUCAUCAAGAUCACUUUCUUCUCCUUUCAUACCAAAAUCUCGUUAUGGAUC